GCCCCCAGCCCCCCCCGCCGCCCCCCCCGCCCCCCCCCCGGCGGACGCCGGUUUUUUAAAAAUUGUGAGCCCUUAGUAAUGGCGAAUGAAACGGGCUUAGUUCAGCAUAGAACCGCUUACUGUAAAAGGUAGCGUGGAAUGUGAUGUUUGGGAGAGUCUCCUCGAGUUGAAACGACCAGUCCAAGUCCACCUUUGACUGGGGCCACGGCCCAUAGAGGGUGAUAGGCCCGUACGGCGGUGUGUUUUUUCUCGCUGACUUUGUUUCCCUAGAGUCGAGUUGCUUGGGAGUGCAGCUCAAAGUGCGUGGUAAGAUCCACGUAAAGCUAAAUAUCACCCCGAGACCGAUAGCAAACAAGUACCGUGAGGGAAAGUUGAAAAGAACCUUUUGAAGAGAGAGUUCAAGAGUACGUGAAACAGUAUAGUGGUAAACGUGAGGGUUUCUCAAAGUAUGAGGUUUUCAUGAGGUUCAGACUGACGACUCGUCUCGCUCUUGAUUUUUUUAGAUCCGUAAUGACUAGACUUAAAUAGUGUUGAAGUUUAUCUUUGUUGCAUUUCUCAGUCUCUUCGCACCCCCAGCCACAGCUAAUGAACUGUGGAAAUGUCGGCGAAGUUCCCUUCCCGCCUCUUUAAACAGUGACUUCAUCCCUAGUUCUGUAGCAACAGUGGCUUCCACUAACUAAGCAACCUCGUAAAGCGAGUGUCCUUUGCUCACUUAGCGUUCGUUUGUAUUCCACUGAGCUAAUACCUCUUCAAUCUCCCCUACCCAGGGUGUAGAAGUUUAAAAACAGUGUGGGGGCGGGGGUGUGGGCGCGGGGUGG
rnacentral:rRNA from 1 species